rfam:Homo sapiens chromosome 8 genomic contig HG76_PATCH, GRC reference assembly FIX PATCH for GRCh38.
AAGACGAUACUUUCAGGGAUCAUUUCUGUAGUUUGCUACUAGAGAAGUUCCUCUAAACGUGUAGAGAAAAAAAUGUUAAACAGGAAUACAUGAAGAUCAUCAAAGAAUGGA